rnacentral:rRNA from 1 species
AUUGAACGCUGGCGGCAUGCUUUACACAUGCAAGUCGAACGGCAGCACGGGCUUCGGCCUGGUGGCGAGUGGCGAACGGGUGAGUAAUGCAUCGGAACGUGCCCAUUUGUGGGGGAUAACUACGCGAAAGCGUGGCUAAUACCGCAUACGCCCUGAGGGGGAAAGCGGGGGAUUCUUCGGAACCUCGCGCAAUUGGAGCGGCCGAUGUCAGAUUAGCUUGUUGGUGAGGUAAAGGCUCACCAAGGCGACGAUCUGUAGCGGGUCUGAGAGGAUGAUCCGCCACACUGGGACUGAGACACGGCCCAGACUCCUACGGGAGGCAGCAGUGGGGAAUUUUGGACAAUGGGGGCAACCCUGAUCCAGCCAUGCCGCGUGAGUGAAGAAGGCCUUCGGUUGUAAGACGUCUUCUAGCCGGAGAAACGACGACUCUCUAACAUAGGUGUGGAGUGACGGUACCGGAACGAAGAAGACACCGGCGUAACUACGUGCCAGCAGCCGACC